rnacentral:rRNA from 1 species
GCCGGCGACCGGCGGACGGGUGCGUAAUGCGCAUGCAAUCUACUUUACACUGGGGCAUAGCCUCCGGAAACGGGAAUUAAUACCCCAUAUAAUCUUAUUAGCGCAUGUUAGCAAGAUAAAAGCUCUGGCGGUGUAAAAUGAGCGUGCGUCCUAUUAGCUAGUUGGAGAGGUAAUGGCUCACCAAGGCUACGAUGGGUAGGGGUUCUUAGUGGAAGGUCCCCCACACUGGCACUGAGAUACGGGCCAG